GUUCUACUUUUCUUUUCUCUUCCGUUUUCUUUCUCUCAGCUUCACCUGCCCCAGCCAACUCGUCCUUCCCGUUUCUCUCUUUUCCUUUUCUUUCUCCAUACAAGAUACAUUACCUCGAUUUUGGAAGAAAGAGCAUAUAUGACUAGGGGUGGAAAAAAUUCAUGGAGCUGUCGAAAGUGUUAGAUGGGUUUAUUGAUGCCGACACUCUUAUAAUAAAGGCUCAAGUUCAAGUCAUCAGGUUUCUCCCGCUAACACAUGUUCAACUUCCCAAUCCUGGAAACUCAAGGCAUCAGCCUGGAAGAAUGUUGGCUGUUGAUUCUAGGUAAGGUGCAUUUGUGGUUAUUAGACAAAUUGGAAAUGAUACUCUUUAUUGUUCAGUAUCAUCUUAUUGGCAGGGACACCUUAUUUGGUAUAACUUGUACAUAUUUCGAGGAAUAUCUGGUUGAUUUGAUUGGGAAGCCAGGUUACUUAUUUGUAUUGUAACAUGUUUGAGUUUGGAACUUAUUUUUUUAAUUUUUUUUUUCCCUAUAAUGCGCUAAACUUAAAAGAGUGUU